UACAGAGGGUGCAAGCGUUAAUCGGAAUUACUGGGCGUAAAGCGCGCGUAGGCGGUUGUGCAAGUUGGAUGUGAAAUCCCCGGGCUUAACCUGGGCACUGCAUUCAAAACUGCACGGCUAGAGUAUGGGAGAGGAAGGUAGAAUUCCAGGUGUAGCGGUGAAAUGCGUAGAGAUCUGGAGGAAUACCGAUGGCGAAGGCAGCCUUCUGGCCUAAUACUGACGCUGAGGUGCGAAAGCGUGGGGAGCAAACAGG
rnacentral:rRNA from 1 species